CUGGGUAGGAGCCGGCUUGAGGCAUCUGAUUGUUGCUCAGAGGGGGCGCGCGCGUGCGCGCUUACCCAGG
rnacentral:tRNA from 1 species